rnacentral:rRNA from 1 species
GAUGAACGCUGGCGGCGUGCCUAACACAUGCAAGUCGAGCGAACCCUUCGGGGUGAGCGGCGGACGGGUGAGUAACGCGUGGGUAACCUGCCCUAUACACACGGAUAACGUACCGAAAGGUACGCUAAUACGGGAUAAAGUUGUUGGAUGGCAUCUUCUAACAAUCAAAGCUCCGGCGGGAUAGGAUGGACCCGGGUCUGAUUAGCUAGUUGGUGAUGUAAUGGCUCAACAAAGCGACUAUCAGUAGCCGACCUGAGAGGGUGAUCGGCCACAAUGGAACUGAGACACGAUCCAGAAUCCUACGGGAGGCAGCAGUAGGUAAUAUUGAACAAUGGGCGAAAGCCUGAUGCAGCAACGCCGCGUGAGCGAUUAAGGUCUUCGGAUCGUAAAGCUCUGUCCUCAAGGAAGAUAAUGACGGUACUUGAGGAGGAAGCCCCGGCUAACUACGUGCCAGCAGCCGCGGUAA